GAGUUUGAUCCUGGCUCAGGACGAACGCUGGCGGCGUGCCUAACACAUGCAAGUCGAACGGGGAUAUUGAUUUCGGUUGAUAUCCCAGUGGCGAACGGGUGAGUAACGCGUGAGCAACCUGACCUUUUGAGGGGGAUAACACCUGGAAACAAGUGCUAAUACCGCAUAAGACCACGGAGCGGCAUCGUUCAGGGGUCAAAGGAGGAAUCCGCAGAAGGAGGGGCUCGCGUCCCAUUAGAUAGUAGGCGGGGUAACGGCCCACCUAGUCGACGAUGGGUAGCCGAGCUGAGAGGCUGAUCGGCCACACUGGAACUGAGACACGGUCCAGACUCCUACGGGAGGCAGCAGUGGGGAAUAUUGGGCAAUGGGCGCAAGCCUGACCCAGCAACGCCGCGUGAGGGAAGAAGGCUUUCGGGUUGUAAACCUCUGUCCUUGGUGACGAAGGAAGUGACGGUAGCCAAGGAGGAAGCCCCGGCUAACUACGUGCCAGCCGCCGCGGUAAUU
rnacentral:rRNA from 1 species